rnacentral:rRNA from 1 species
UACAGAGGUCUCAAGCGUUGUUCGGAUUCAUUGGGCGUAAAGGGUGCGUAGGCGGCGCGGUAAGUCGGGUGUGAAAUCUCGGAGCUUAACUCCGAAACUGCAUUCGAUACUGCCGUGCUUGAGGACUGGAGAGGAGACUGGAAUUCCUGGUGUAGCGGUGAAAUGCGUAGAUAUCUGGAGGAAUACCGGUGGCGAAGGCGGCGAUCUGGACGAUGACUGACGCUGAGACGCGAAAGCGUGGGGAGCGAACAGG